CAACCUGCCCUUCAGAGGGGGACAACAGUUGGAAACGACUGCUAAUACCGCAUACGAUUCAACCUCGGCAUCGAGGAUGGAUGAAAGGUGGCCUCUAUUUAUAAGCUAUCACUGAAGGAGGGGAUUGCGUCUGAUUAGCUAGUUGGAGGGGUAACGGCCCACCAAGGCAAUGAUCAGUAGCCGGUCUGAGAGGAUGAACGGCCACAUUGGGACUGAGACACGGCCCAGACUCCUACGGGAGGCAGCAUG
rnacentral:rRNA from 1 species